CCCUCACUCACGCACACUCCUCUCUCAGUCACAGUCCUAUACUCCUCUCUGCCGUCGCUAUCCAGCCGUCCAGCAACCGCAGUUUCCGUCCCAUUAUCGGCCGUCCAGAAGCCGCGUCUCUCAGCCUCGUCGUUCUCAGCACCGUCAAUCUCAGCAGCCGCAUCGUCCUUAGCGCCGUUGUUCUCCAUCAUUCUUAGUUGUGCUCCAUCGUUCUCAAUCUCUCAGCUUCAGGUCAAAUAAGGAGAGCGAUUUGCAAUUUAAAGGAUAAAUCUUCUUAUUUGCAACUUUGUAGAAAAUAGGACAUACUGGGCAUCUUUAUAGGCUCAGCCUAAAGAGGUGGAAGGAGAAGGAAGCUAUUGGGGUGGUGAGCCAGCUUCUUGCCUCUUUGCCAAAUCCACAAUAAUGGCAAUGGUGGAAAGAAGCCAGAGAAAACGGAGAAGGGACCUGAGUUAUCUGAAUUUGUUGGUUCUGAUUUUAUACAUCCCAAGGAUGUUGUCCCGAUCGAAAGCAUACAGGAGUUUGACGAGACUGUUGAAGGGACUGGAAACAAGGGCAGGGUGUGUGUUGUCAAUGAUAUUGUUUUGGGUGAUAUAGAGGAGAUGAUGGGAAUAGAGGAAGUUGAGGAUACUUUUAGGACACUGCUGCAGGACAGGUGUAACGAUGCAGAUAAAGAGCAACAAAAGAUAAUGGAUGAGUUGGAACUGGUUGUGAAUGGAACACAAAAUAUCAUUUGUGAUAGUGGUUUAAUCUCUUUGAGUGCAGGGUCAGGUGAGGAACAGAACAGGGCAGUUGAGCCGAUGGAUUACCGAUUCGAGAAUGAUGAAUUCCCGCAUUCUGAUGUCAAAAAAUGUGGUAAUGCAGGUGAGAUGCAAGUACAAGGCCCGCUUGAUCAACUUCCUUCUGAAAACUUUAAUCAAUGCUUAGGAGUUGAGUUGUCAACAUCAGCACAGGAACAAACUUCUGCAUUGGUAACUGGUAUAUCUAAGUAUAAACCACGGGAGAGAGGGGAGUGAAAUGGAAAUGGUUUGUGCUGCAACGGGUUCUCUUCCAAAUUCUAAAGAAGGUGAAGUUGAGAAGGUAGAGCAAUGUGACUUAAUGGUUACUCAAGGAUUGCAUGUUUCUUUGGAAGAUAAAUAUGAAAUGAAAAAUGAAAGGAAUUUAGAAAAGUCAACUUGUGCAAACAAUGCAUCUAUUUCUUCAAAUAUUCAGAUUGAAAAUGAAGACAUAGAAGAGGGAGAACUUGUUGGAGACUUUGGAGUGGAUUGUAGUUCAUUUGGCAUGCCUACUGCAGAUUCCUUUAUUCCUCAAACGAAAAUUGAUGAGGUUCAGAACCCCGAAAGUAUUAAUAUGGGGAAGACAAAAAAGGAAGGUUUAGGCAAAGAAAUAGGUAGGAAACUGGUUACUGACAUGCCAAUAAAUUAUGUUCAAAAUCAAGUCUUGCACGAAUGCAUAUUGGAAGAGGACUCUGAGAUCAUGGAAACCCUGCUGCAUCAGAGAAAGUUGAUGUCAGCCGUAAGAAAAAGCGUGGCCCUGGUUCUGCGGAAAAGAAAGCGAAAAAGAAGGAAAAAAGCGGAAAAAACGGGCAGAAAAGAACAAACAACUUGGUGUUAAAAGGGUGACAAGUGCCAUUUUUCACAUGAUACAGUGCCUUCUACCAAAUCAAAGCCAUGCUCCUUUUUCGCUCGUCACUCCUGCAUGAAAGGAGAUGACUGCCCUUUUGAUCAUCAACUCUCUAAGUAUCCUUGUGUUAACUUUGUGUCCGGAGGUUUUUGUGUCAGAGAUGAUGCAUGCUUGUUUUCGCACCAGGUACCACAUCCACUCUAUAUUACUUCCCGUAAAAUGCUUGUGUUUUCAAUCCAAAUACAAAGGCUAUUGUUAGCAUAUAUAAUUAGGAUAAUUAGGUUGUGCAUUAUGUGUUAGCUUUGAGGAAAAUUUCCCAAAGGGCAGCAGGUAUAUAGGCGCAAGAGGUUCAGGGACAGUUUUGUAGUUAAGCAGAAUCAGGAAGUGGGAGA